rnacentral:rRNA from 1 species
AGUGAACGCUGGCGGUAGGCCUAACACAUGCAAGUCGAACGGCAGCACAGUAAGAGCUUGCUCUUACGGGUGGCGAGUGGCGGACGGGUGAGGAAUACAUCGGAAUCUACUUUUUCGUGGGGGAUAACGUAGGGAAACUUACGCUAAUACCGCAUACGACCUACGGGUGAAAGCAGGUGAUCUUCGGACCUUGCGCGAUUGAAUGAGCCGAUGUCGGAUUAGCUAGUUGGCGGGGUAAAGGCCCACCAAGGCGACGAUCCGUAGCUGGUCUGAGAGGAUGAUUAGCCACACGAGAACUGAGACACGGUCCAGACUCCUACAGGAGGCAGCAGUGGGGAAUAUUGGACAAUGGGCGCAAGCCUGAUCCAGCCAUACCGCGUGGGUGAAGAAGGCCUUCGGGUUGUAAAGCCCUUUUGUUGGGAAAGAAAAGCAGCAGGUUAAGACCCCGCUGUUCUGACGGUACCCAAAGAAUAAGCACCGGCUAACUUCGUG